AACGAACGCUGGCGGCAUGCCUAACACAUGCAAGUCGAACGAGACCUUCGGGUCUAGUGGCGCACGGGUGCGUAACGCGUGGGAACCUGCCCUUAGGUUCGGAAUAACUCCCCGAAAGGGGUGCUAAUACCGGAUAAUGUCUUCGGACCAAAGAUUUAUCGCCUUUGGAUGGGCCCGCGUUGGAUUAGCUAGUUGGUAGGGUAAAAGCCUACCAAGGCGACGAUCCAUAGCUGGUCUGAGAGGAAGAUCAGCCACACUGGGACUGAGACACGGCCCAGACUCCUGCGGGAGGCAGCAGAGGGGAAUAUUGGAAAAUGGGGGAAAGCCUGAUCCAGCUAUGCCGCGUGAGUGAUGAAGGCCUUAGGGUUGUAAAGCUCUUUUACCCGGGAUGAUAAUGACAGUACCGGGAGAAUAAGCUCCGGCUAACUCCGUG
rnacentral:rRNA from 1 species